GGAAAUGUGGCUUAGUGGUAGAGUCCUUGUCUAGAAUGCAUGAAGCCAGGAGUUUGAUUCCUCAGUACCA
rfam:Dipodomys ordii contig_16330, whole genome shotgun sequence.